UGGGGAAUCUUGGACAAUGGGGGCAACCCUGAUCCAGCCAUGCCGCGUGAGUGAUGAAGGCCUUAGGGUUGUAAAGCUCUUUCACCGGUGAAGAUAAUGACGGUAGCCGGAGAAGAAGCCCCGGCUAACUCCGUGCCAGCAGCCGCGGUAAUACGGAGGGGGUUAGCGUUGUUCGGAAUUACUGGGCGUAAAGCGCACGUAGGCGGACCAGAAAGUUGGGGGUGAAAUCCCGGGGGCUCAACCCCGGAACUGCCUCCAAAACUAUUGGUCUAGAGUUCGAGAGAGGUGAGUGGAAUUCCAAGUGUAGAGGUGAAAUUCGUAGAUAUUUGGAGGAACACCAGUGGCGAAGGCGGCUCACUGGCUCGAUACUGACGCUGAGGUGCGAAAGUGUGGGGAGCAAACAGGAUUAGAUACCCUGGGUAGUCCACACCGUAAAACGAUGAAUGCCAGUCGUCGGGUAGCAUGCUAUUCGGU
rnacentral:rRNA from 1 species